ACUGUUAUUAAUGGUUUCAGUGAAAUUCAUAUUAAUGAUUUCAGUGAUAUAUUGAGUACAUGAUAUUGCUGCUUUCGAAUAUUUAAAGAGAUUUAGAAAUAAUUUAAAUAUGCAAGUGGACUCAUCCGGUUCGCCGGUGAGGUAUAAGUGGACCUAUCUAGGACGCCGGUAGGGAUUAAGUGGACUCAUCCGGUACGCCGGUGAGGUAUAAGUAGACCUGCAGGGAUUAAGUGGACCUAUCUGGGACGCCGAUGGGGAUUAAGUAAACCCAUCAGGACGCUGAUGGGGUAUAUAGGUGACCUACUUGGGACGUCAGUAGGGUAUUUUGUGAAAUCCUUUGAAUUAUGUACUGCCGUUAAAAGUGUUAUAAGCAUUUCAAU
rnacentral:lncRNA from 1 species